GGUCUGAAGGUAGUGAGUUAUUUAAUUUGUUCACAGUGAGUUAUAGAUUGAUCUCCUUGUUCUGCUCUUUCCCCGCUUCUCACUACUGCACUAAUCUUAA
ensembl:misc_RNA Y_RNA Y RNA